UAGGGAAUCUUCGGCAAUGGACGAAAGUCUGACCGAGCAACGCCGCGUGAGUGAAGAAGGUUUUCGGAUCGUAAAACUCUGUUGUUAGAGAAGAACAAGGACGUUAGUAACUGAACGUCCCCUGACGGUAUCUAACCAGAAAGCCACGGCUAACUACGUGCCAGCAGCCGCGGUAAUACGUAGGUGGCAAGCGUUGUCCGGAAUUACUGGGCGUAAAGCGCACGCAGGCGGUCUGUCAAGUCGGAUGUGAAAUCCCCGGGCUCAACCUGGGAACUGCAUUCGAAACUGGCAGGCUAGAGUCUUGUAGAGGGGGGUAGAAUUCCAGGUGUAGCGGUGAAAUGCGUAGAGAUCUGGAGGAAUACCGGUGGCGAAGGCGGCCCCCUGGACAAAGACUGACGCUCAGGUGCGAAAGCGUGGGGAGCAAACAGG
rnacentral:rRNA from 1 species